GUGAGGAAUAUUGCGCAAUGGAGGCAACUCUGACGCAGCCAUGCCGCGUGCAGGAAGAAGGCGCUACGCGUUGUAAACUGCUUUUAACCGGGAAGAAACCCCAGGACGUGUCCAGGGUUGACGGUACCGGAGGAAUAAGCACCGGCUAACUUCGUGCCAGCAGCCGCGGUAAUACGAAGGGUGCAAGCGUUAUCCGGAUUCAUUGGGUUUAAAGGGUGCGUAGGCGGAGCGUUAAGUCAGUGGUGAAAUCCUGCAGCUUAACUGUAGACUUGCCAUUGAUACUGGCGCUCUUGAGUGCGCUUGAAGUGGGCGGAAUGUGCCGUGUAGCGGUGAAAUGCUUAGAUAUGGCACAGAACACCAAUUGCGAAGGCAGCUCACUAAGGCGAUACUGACGCUGAGGCACGAAAGCGUGGGGAUCGAACAGGAUUAGAAACCCGUGUAGUCC
rnacentral:rRNA from 1 species